rnacentral:rRNA from 1 species
UCUGCCUGGUAGUGGGGGAUAACGUUCGGAAACGGACGCUAAUACCGCAUACGUCCUUCGGGAGAAAGCAGGGGACCUUCGGGCCUUGCGCUAUCAGAUGAGCCUAGGUCGGAUUAGCUAGUUGGUGGGGUAAUGGCUCACCAAGGCUACGAUCCGUAACUGGUCUGAGAGGAUGAUCAGUCACACUGGAACUGAGACACGGUCCAGACUCCUACGGGAGGCAGCAGUGGGGAAUAUUGGACAAUGGGCGAAAGCCUGAUCCAGCCAUGCCGCGUGUGUGAAGAAGGUCUUCGGAUUGUAAAGCACUUUAAGUUGGGAGGAAGGGUUGUAGAUUAAUACUCUGCAAUUUUGACGUUACCGACAGAAUAAGCACCGGCUAACUCUGUGCCAGCAGCCGCGGUAAUACAGAGGGUGCAAGCGUUAAUCGGAAUUACUGGGCGUAAAGCGCGCGUAGGUGGUUUGUUAAGUUGGAUGUGAAAUCCCCGGGCUC